rnacentral:lncRNA from 1 species
CAAACCAUGAAAUCAAGGCAGCUAGGAGAGUUCCAGCAGAAGCAGUGGCUAUGGCAGUGGCAGGAGGUUUUAAUUACUGUCAGGAAACAAAGCUUAGCAGGAGAGGAGAGCCUGAGAAGUGACAGGAAGCUACAGGUUACAACAAAUUUGUGAACUCAGCCAAGCACACUGGUCGCAGGGCCUAGCUGCUACAAAGACAUGUUUUAGACAAUACUCAUGUGUAUGGGCAAAAAACUCUAGGACUGUAUUUUUGACUAGUUAUAUAACAGGUUAUUUUAGUUUCUGUUCUGUGGAAAGUGUAAAGCAUUCCAACAAAGGGUUUUAAUGUGCAUUUUUUUUUUUUUUUGCAUCCAUGCUGUUGAUUGCUAAAUGUAAUAGUCUGAUCAUGAUGCUAAAUAAAUG